rnacentral:rRNA from 1 species
AUACGGAGGGUGCAAGCGUUAUCCGGAAUCAUUGGGUUUAAAGGGUCCGUAGGCGGGCAAAUAAGUCAGAGGUGAAAUCCCACAGCUCAACUGUGGAACUGCCUUUGAUACUGUUUGUCUGAGUUAUAGUGAAGUAGAUAGAAUAUGUAGUGUAGCGGUGAAAUGCAUAGAUAUUACAUAGAAUACCGAUUGCGAAGGCAGUCUACUAACUAUUGACUGACGCUAAUGGACGAAAGCGUGGGGAGCGAACAGGAUUAGAUACCCUAGUAGUCC